AUGUGUCAGGGCACACACAAACACCCACACACGCGUGGUCACACGCAGCUCCGUGUCAGGGCACACACACACACACGUGUGGUCCCACACAAUGACACGCGUGUCCCCGCCGCUCUCCUCCUUGUCAGGGCACACACACACACACGCGUGUUCACACGCCAUGACAUGCGUGUCCCUGACUCUUUCCCCCGUCUCAGGGCACACACACACACACACACGCGUGCGCGCGGUCACACACGCAAUGACAUGCGUGUCCCUGACUCUUUCCCCCGUCUCAGGGCACACACAUGGUUCUCACACACACACGUGUGUUCACACACCAUGACACGCGUGUCCCCGACUCUUUCCCCCGUCUCAGGGCACACACGUGGAUCUCACACACACACACACAGGUGGUCACACACCAUGACACACGUGUCCCCACCACUCUCCCCCGUCUCAGGGCACAGACACACACACACACGCGUGUUCACACACAAUGACACACAUGUCCCUGACUCUUUCCCCCGUCUCAGGGCACACACACACACACACACACACACACACCAUGACACGCGUGUCCCCGACUCUUUCCCCCGUCUCAGGGCACACAGACACACACACGCGUGUUCACUCGCCAUGACACGCGUGUCCCCGCCGCUCUCCCCCAUCUCAGGGCACACACACACACACACUUGUUCACACGCCAUGACACGCGUGCCCCUGACUCUUUCUCCCAUCUCAGGGCACACACACACACGCACACGCCAUGACACGCGUGUCCCCGACUCUUUCCCCCGUCUCAGGGCACACACGUGGGUCUCACUUACACACACACACAUGGGUCUCACACACACACACAUGGGUCUCACUUACACACACACACGUGGGUCUCACUUACACGUGGGUCUCACUUACACACGUGGGUCUCACUUUCACACACACAUGUGUAUCUCACUUUCACACACACGUGGGUCUCACUUUCACACACACACGUGGGUCUCACUUUCACACACACACGUGGGUCUCACUUUCACACACACGUGGGUCUCACUUUCACACACGUGGGUCUCACUUUCACACACACAUGUGUAUCUCACUUUCACACACACACGUGGGUGUCACUUUCACACACACAUGUGGGUCUCACACACGUGGGUCUCACUUUCACACACACAUGUGGGUCUCACACACACGUGGGUCUCACACACACACACGUGGGUCUUACACACACACACGUGUAUCUCACUUUCACACACGUGGGUCUCACUUUCACACACACACACGCAUGUUCACACGCCAUGACACGCAUGUCCCUGCCGCUCUCCCCCGUCUCAGGGCACACACACACACACACACAUGCGCGCAUGUUCACACGCCAUGACAUGCGUGUCCCCGCCGCUCUGCCCCGUCUCAGGGCACACACGUGGGUCUCACACACACACACGUGGGUCUCACACACACACAUGUGGGUCUCACUUUCACACACACAUGGGUCUCACUUACACACGUGAGUCUCACUUUCACACA
rnacentral:lncRNA from 1 species